AUUGAACGCUGGCGGCAUGCCUUACACAUGCAAGUCGAACGGCAGCACGGGAGCAAUCCUGGUGGCGAGUGGCGAACGGGUGAGUAAAGUAUCGGAACGUGCCCAGUCGUGGGGGAUAACGUAGCGAAAGCUACGCUAAUACCGCAUACGAUCUAUGGAUGAAAGCGGGGGAUCGCACGACCUCGCGCGAUUUGAGCGGCCGAUAUCAGAUUAGGUAGUUGGUGGGGUAAAGGCCCACCAAGCCGACGACCUGUAGCUGGUCUGAGAGGACGACCAGCCACACUGGGACUGAGACACGGCCCAGACUCCUACGGGAGGCAGCAGUGGGGAAUUUUGGACAAUGGGCGCAAGCCUGAUCCAGCAAUGCCGCGUGCAGGAUGAAGGCCUUCGGGUUGUAAACUGCUUUUGUACGGAGCGAAAAGGCUUCCACUAAUACUGGGGGCUCAUGACGGUACCGUAAGAAUAAGCACCGGCUAACUACGUGCCAGCAGCCGCCGUAACAC
rnacentral:rRNA from 1 species